GACGAACGCUGGCGGCGUGCUUAACACAUGCAAGUCGAACGGUAAGGCCCUUCGGGGUACACGAGUGGCGAACGGGUGAGUAACACGUGGGUGAUCUGCCCUGCACUUCGGGAUAAGCCUGGGAAACUGGGUCUAAUACCGGAUAGGACCACUGCCUGCAUGGGUGGUGGUGGAAAGCUUUUGCGGUGUGGGAUGGGCCCGCGGCCUAUCAGCUUGUUGGUGGGGUGAUGGCCUACCAAGGCGACGACGGGUAGCCGGCCUGAGAGGGUGACCGGCAACACUGGGACUGAGAUACGGCCCAGACUCCUACGGGAGGCAGCAGUGGGGAAUAUUGCACGAUGGGCGCAAGCCUGAUUCAGCGACGCCGCGUGAGGGAUGACGGCCUUCGGGUUGUAAACCUCUUUCAGCACCGACGAAGCGCAAGUGACGGUAGGUGCAGAAGAAGGACCGGCCAACUACGUGCCAGCAGCCGCCGUAA
rnacentral:rRNA from 1 species